UGGGGAAUAUUGGACAAUGGGCGCAAGCCUGAUCCAGCAAUGCCGCGUGUGUGAAGAAGGCCUUCGGGUUGUAAAGCACUUUUAUCAGGAGCGAAAUACUAUCGGUUAAUAACCGGUGGGGCUGACGGUACCUGAGGAAUAAGCACCGGCUAACUUCGUGCCAGCAGCCGCGGUAAUACGAAGGGUGCAAGCGUUAAUCGGAAUUACUGGGCGUAAAGGGUGCGUAGGCGGUUAGUUAAGUCUGUUGUGAAAUCCCCGGGCUCAACCUGGGAAUGGCAAUGGAUACUGGCUAGCUAGAGUGUGUCAGAGGAUGGUGGAAUUCCCGGUGUAGCGGUGAAAUGCGUAGAGAUCGGGAGGAACAUCAGUGGCGAAGGCGGCCAUCUGGGACAACACUGACGCUGAAGCACGAAAGCGUGGGGAGCAAACAG
rnacentral:rRNA from 1 species